AUUGAACGCUGGCGGCAUGCUUUACACAUGCAAGUCGAACGGUAACAGGCCGCAAGGUGCUGACGAGUGGCGGACGGGUGAGUAAUGCAUCGGAACGUGCCCAGUCGUGGGGGAUAACUACUCGAAAGAGUAGCUAAUACCGCAUACGAGCUAUGGAUGAAAGCGGGGGACCGUAAGGCCUCGCGCGAUUGGAGCGGCCGAUGUCAGAUUAGGUAGUUGGUGGGGUAAAGGCUCACCAAGCCAACGAUCUGUAGCUGGUCUGAGAGGACGACCAGCCACACUGGGACUGAGACACGGCCCAGACUCCUACGGGAGGCAGCAGUGGGGAAUUUUGGACAAUGGGCGCAAGCCUGAUCCAGCAAUGCCGCGUGCAGGAAGAGGGCCUUCGGGUUGUAAACUGCUUUUGUACGGAACGAAACGGCUCUGGUUAAUACCCGGGGAUAAUGACGGUACCGUAAGAAUAAGCACCGGCUAACUACGUG
rnacentral:rRNA from 1 species